rnacentral:hammerhead_ribozyme from 1 species
ACACAGGUGACGAGUCCCAAGUAGGACGAAACAUGCGUCCUGAAU